CAGUCGCCGCGGUAAUACGUAGGGCGCAAGCGUUGUCCGGAAUUAUUGGGCGUAAAGAGCUCGUAGGCGGUCUGUCGCGUCUGGUGUGAAAUCCCGAGGCUCAACCUCGGGCUUGCAUCGGGUACGGGCAGACUAGAGUGCGGUAGGGGAGACUGGAAUUCCUGGUGUAGCGGUGGAAUGCGCAGAUAUCAGGAGGAACACCGAUGGCGAAGGCAGGUCUCUGGGCCGCAACUGACGCUGAGGAGCGAAAGCAUGGGGAGCGAACAGGAUUAGAGACCCGAGUAGUCCCUGUCUCUUAUAC
rnacentral:rRNA from 1 species